rnacentral:rRNA from 1 species
UACGGGGGAUGCAAGCGUUAUCCGGAUUUAUUGGGUUUAAAGGGUGCGUAGGCUGUGAGGUAAGUCAGCGGUGAAAUGCCCCCGCUCAACGGGGUGAAGUGCCAUUGAUACUGCCUUGCUGGAAUGCGGAUGCCGUGGGAGGAAUGUGUGGUGUAGCGGUGAAAUGCAUAGAUAUCACACAGAACACCGAUUGCGAAGGCAGCAUGCCGGCUCCACACUGACGCUGAGGCACGAAAGC